rnacentral:rRNA from 1 species
GUGCCAGCCGCCGCGGUAAUACGUAGGGUGCGAGCGUUAAUCGGAAUUACUGGGCGUAAAGCGUGCGCAGGCGGUUUCACAAGCUCGAUGUGAAAGCCCCGGGCUUAACCUGGGAAUUGCAUUGAGGACUGUGGAGCUAGAGUGCGGCAGAGGGAGGUGGAAUUCCACGUGUAGCAGUGAAAUGCGUAGAGAUGUGGAGGAACACCGAUGGCGAAGGCAGCCUCCUGGGCCGACACUGACGCUCAUGCACGAAAGCGUGGGGAGCAAACAGGAUUAGAAACCCCUGUAGUCC